rnacentral:rRNA from 1 species
AUUGAACGCUGGCGGCAGGCUUAACACAUGCAAGUCGAGCGGAGAUGAGGUGCUUGCACCUUAUCUUAGCGGCGGACGGGUGAGUAACGCUUAGGAAUCUGCCAUUUAGUGGGGGACAACAUUCCGAAAGGAAUGCUAAUACCGCAUACGUCCUACGGGAGAAAGCAGGGGAUCUUCGGACCUUGCGCUAAAUGAUGAGCCUAAGUCGGAUUAGCUAGUUGGUGGGGUAAAGGCCUACCAAGGCGACGAUCUGUAGCGGGUCUGAGAGGAUGAUCCGCCACGCUGGGGCAGAGACACGGCCCAGACUCCUAAGGGAGGCAGCAGUGGGGAAUAUUGGACAAUGGGCGGAAGCCUGAUCCAGCCAUGCCGCGUGUGUGAAGAAGGCCUUUUGGUUGUAAAGCACUUUAAGCGAGGAGGAGGCUACUAGUACUAAUACUACUGGAUAGUGGACGUUACUCGCAGAAUAAGCACCGGCUAACUCUGUGCCAGCCGCCGCGGUAACAC